GGGACGAUGGCGCAUCUGGGAGCGCGUCAGACUGAAGUACAAACUUCGGCCGCAGGACUCAGUCCUAGUAAUCUGAAGGUGGCCGGUUCAAGCCCGGCUCGUCCCA